rnacentral:snoRNA from 1 species
UGCGUGAUGACCUCUCCUUGCACACUUGACCCACGACGGCGAUGUGAGUUUCCCGUUUGGUCUGA